rnacentral:misc_RNA from 1 species
AAGAAAGUAAUUCAUAUCAAAUACACACAACUCAAAAAAAGGAUAUAUGAAAGAGUGUUUAAAAGGAAUGGGACAGUAAGAGAAGCUAAGGAGAUAUGGAGGAGAUAUAGAGGAGUUUCCAUUAAGGGUGGAUUUAUACAAAGGAUCUACACUGAACACAUUCUUGUUUACCUUGUUAUGAGAGAGCUAAUCAAUAUUCAAUAGAAUAUAGGAUGAGGUUACAUGGUG